AUUGAACGCUGGCGGCAGGCCUAACACAUGCACGUCGAGCGGAGCGGCGGACGGGUGAGUAAUGCCUAGGAAUCGGCCUGGGAGAGGGGGAUAACGUCCGGAAACGGGCGCUAAUACCGCAUACUAGCAGAUGAGCCAAGGGCGGAUUAGCUAGUUGGUUGGGUAAAGGCCUACCAAGGCGACGAUCCGUAACUGGUCUGAGAGGAGGAUCAGUCACACUGGACCUGAGACACGGUCCAGACUCCUACGGGAGGCAGCAGUGGGGAAUAUUGACCAAUGGGCGAAAGCCUGAUCCAGCCAUGCCGCGUGUGUGAAGAAGGUCUUCGGAUUGUAAAGCACUUUCAGUUGGGAGGCGUUACCAACAGAAUAAGCACCGGCUAACUUCGUGCCAGCAGCCGCGGUAAUUC
rnacentral:rRNA from 1 species